rnacentral:lncRNA from 1 species
UUUUCAAAAAUUUCAGGUUGUCCACAUAACAGCCCUCAAUAUUUUAUUUUCUUAAACCAAUUUUUAUUUUCAAAAAUUUAUUCCAUGACAGGAUAAAGAAAUUGGCCACUGGAGAUUCAGCUGUAUCUUGUCCUUUCCAUGGAGGCCUAUUCUUUCUGGUAAAUUUCAAGCCUAUCUAUUUUUGUAUAUUGUAUUUAUUUAUUAUCUGCGUUUCAUUUCAAUGGAACCUCACGAAAUUUCUUUAUUUUUCAUACUAUAGGUUGAAGGCUCAAAUUAAAAUGAGUCAGAUUUUUAAUAGAAUAUGUGGCAAUUACAAAAUGCUUAUGCAGCAGAAAGCAACAAAAAGAAGCUUAAAUUAUAUUGUAUGAAACACAAUUUGACCAUGUUAAUAUAUGCUGCAGCAACUGGAUACACAGAAUAUUACUUUGAUACAUAAUUAUUUGUUAUAUUAUUGAGAUUCAUCAAAAUUAACGGUUUAUAGGUUUUUAUUGAAUACCAUUAAUUUUGAUUGGUCUUAAUAACAUAUCAAGUUAUUUUCAAAAAAUUUAUAGAUGAUCUAUAUGAUAUAAACUUUCAAUCUAACGGUGAAUUUUAUAAAAUUUGUAUUCGUUAUUGUUGGAAAUUACCUUUGAAUUGAUGAAAAAAGCAGAAAACUAGUUUCACUGCUGCCAUUUGCGCAUGAGGCGCAGAAGCAGCCUCAGUUGCUGCCAUUGAUGUGAACUUGGAAGACAAGGACAAGGCAUUUCAUUUGUUGUGUGCUUUGCCCAAGCCGC